UGGAAGACAAUGUGGGAUGGGGCCCACGCCCCUGUCUGAGGUACAGUCACUGCCCUUGCCCCCCUGCCCCUGCUCUGUCCUCGACCCCCAACCCCCCCCAAACUCUGGGUGGUGUGGCUCAGGGUGGGUGUUUGCAGAGGGUCUCCUGGGAGUUGGAGCUGGUGACUCCAUCUUGGUCCGGGCUCCGGAUGUCGGGGUGGGGUAUUCCUACAACCAGAGGCUACAGCCCCUCAGCGCCGCCUCCUGACAACGGUUGCCCACCCUCGGGGGAACCACAGCUGGUCACUGGUUUCAGCUGGAGCCAGGGGGCUAUUGCUGGUCCAUCGCUGGUGUGUGUGUGUGUGUGUGUGGGUGUGAGUGUGUGUG